CCUACGGGAGGCAGCAGUGAGGAAUAUUGGUCAAUGGGCGGAAGCCUGAACCAGCCAAGUCGCGUGAGGGAAUAAGGCCCUACGGGUCGUAAACCUCUUUUGCCGGGGAGCAAGGGCGGGGACGUGUCCCGGCCCGGAGAGUACCCGGAGAAAAAGCAUCGGCUAACUCCGUGCCAGCAGCCGCGGUAAAGCGGGGGAUGCGAGCGUUAUCCGGAUUGAUUGGGUUUAAAGGGGGCGUAGGCGGGCGUUUAAGUCAGCGGUAAAAAUUCGGGGCUCAACCCCGUCCGGCCGUUGAAACUGGGAGCCUUGAGUGGGCGAGAAGAAGGCGGAAUGCGUGGUGUAGCGGUGAAAUGCAUAGAUAUCGCGCAGAACCCCGAUUGCGAAGGCAGCCUUCCGGCGCCCUACUGACGCUGAGGCACGAAAGUGCGGGGAUCGAACAGGAUUAGAUACCCCAGUAGUC
rnacentral:rRNA from 1 species